GGAUUGUGGCUCAGUGGUAGAGCGCUUGCCUAGCACAUGUGAGGAACUGGGUUCAAUCUUCAGCACCA
rnacentral:tRNA from 1 species